UCUACCUGCUCACCUCUUUCCUUCUCCAACUCUGAGCUCAUGCUGGGUCCUUCUCUCCAAGAGAAAGGGCUUAAUCUGGGGCUUCUCAACCUCACCACCAUUGACAUUUGGGGCCAGAUAUUUCUUUGCUGUGGGAGCUGUCCUGUGCACGGUAGGAUGUUUAGCUGCAUCCUUGCCUCCAUCCAAGAGAGGCCAGCAGCACCGCUCUCCUCCCCCUCCCCAAGCUGUGAAGACCAAAAAUGUCUCUGGACUUUCCAAAUGUCCCCCAGGGGGCUACCCCCAGCCCUCCCUGUGCUGCCGCACCUCUGGGUCACACCCACUGUGUUCCGCUUGCCUUAGAGGGGGUAGGACUGUGAGCUGGAACAUAGUAGGAACUCAAUAACAAUUGGGUUGAUUCAUUAUGGAGAACUGUUCUGUGUAUGUUCCUUGUCUGAGAGCCAAUUUGCAGGGCACUCCUGAAGGGUUCACAGAGCAAAGACGGUUGUGCUGUGUCUGGAAGGAUAAAUAGGAGUUCUCACGGAAGAAUCCAGGUGGGCAGCUCGAGAUCUCCUUCCAAAUGACUCUGGAAGAUAAAAUUGGAGACAGUGUUUAACCUGGCACCUGAUCCACCUCUGCCAGCUCUGGGACAAGCCAGAAGUUUCUAAGAGCACUAGGCAGUGGGGUUACUGCAAGGUGCUGGAGCAUUAGAAAUUCUUUAAAAACAUGCUUUUGAAAAGUGGAAUAGGGCUUCCCUGGUGGUGAAAGGGUUGAGAAUCCGCCUGCCAAUGCAGGGGACACGGGUUCGAGCCCUGGUCUGUGAAGAUCCCACAUGCCAUGGAGCAACUAAGCCUGUGCUCCACAACUACUGAGCCUGUGUGCCACAACUACUGAAGCCCACAUGCCUAGAGCCGGUGCUCUGCAACAAGAGAAGCCACUGCAAUGAGAAGCCCAUGCACGGCAACGAAGAGUAGCCCCUGCUCGCCACAACUAGAGAAAAGCUCGCAGCAACGAAGA